rnacentral:lncRNA from 1 species
AAAUAAAAAAUAACAACAAAAAUUCCAUAAAUAAUGCAAAAAUUAUUUCAAUAACAACUGAAGUUUAACACAACUAUUAAUUCAUAAAAAUUACUAAGAACAAAAAAUUGAACAAAAGUAAUGACCUAAAAAAAUAAUGCAAAAGAAAAAACACAAAUAAAGAAGAAAAAGGAAUGAAAAAUUCUUACUUUUAUAACAUGCUUAGUUUCGGCUGAGAAUUAAAAAAAA